rnacentral:lncRNA from 1 species
GACUGUAGGUGGAGGUAUGGGACUGUAGGUGGAGGUAAAGAGGUAUGGGACUGUAGGUGGAGGUAUAGAGGUAUGGGACUGUAGGUGGAGGUAUAGAGGUAUGGGACUGUAGGUGGAGGUAUAGAGAUAUGGGACUGUAGGUGGAGGUAUAGAGAUAUGGGACUGUAGGUGGAGGUAUAGAGGUAUGGGACUGUAGGUGGAGGUAUAGAGGUAUGGGACUGUAGGUGGAGGUAUAGAGGUAUGGGACUGUAGGUGGAGGUAUAGAGGUAUGGGACUGUAGGUGGAGGUAUAGAGGUAUGGGACUGUAGGUGGAGGUAUGAGACUGUAGGUGGAGGUAAAGAGGUAUGGGACUGUAGGUGGAGGUAUAGAGGUAUGAGACUGUACAACACAGGACAUACCAAUCAGCUCUUUCUCUGAAGCAGUCUGUAAUGGGAUACAGCAGCAGUCUGUAAUGGGAUACAGCAGAAGCAGUCUGUAAUGGGAUACAGCAGCAGUCUGUAAUGGGAUACAGCUGGAGAAGCAGUCUGUAAUGGGAUACAGCAGCAGUCUGUAAUGGGAUACAGCAGGAGAAGCAGUCUGUAAUGGGAUACAGCAGCAGUCUGUAAUGGGAUACAGCAGCAGUCUGUAAUGGGAUACAGCAGCAGUCUGUAAUGGGAUACAGCAGCAGUCUGUAAUGGGAUACAGCAGCAGUCUGUAAUGG